GAGGAGCGCCACUGCCAGGGCUCCGAUGUGGCCUUCUACGUGGGCAGCUUGCUCGUCAUGGCCACGCUAGUGGUAAUGCUGUGCGCGCCCGCCUACAUCAUCGGCAAGCAGUUCGCCGUCGACAGCUACACCUUCAUCACGGACGAGGCGGAGCCUUCGGGAACAAAAG
rnacentral:lncRNA from 1 species